rnacentral:rRNA from 1 species
GACGAACGCUGGCGGCGUGCUUAACACAUGCAAGUCGAACGGAAAGGCCCUGCUUUUGUGGGGUGCUCGAGUGGCGAACGGGUGAGUAACACGUGAGUAACCUGCCCUUGACUUUGGGAUAACUUCAGGAAACUGGGGCUAAUACCGGAUAGGAGCUCCUGCUGCAUGGUGGGGGUUGGAAAGUUUCGGCGGUUGGGGAUGGACUCGCGGCUUAUCAGCUUGUUGGUGGGGUAGUGGCUUACCAAGGAUUUGACGGGUAGCCGGCCUGAGAGGGUGACCGGCCACAUUGGGACUGAGAGACGGCCCAGACUCCUACGGGAGGCAGCAGGGGGGAAUAUUGCACAAUGGGCGGAAGCCUGAUGCAGCAACGCCGCGGGCGGGAUGACGGCCUUCGGGUUGUAAACCGCUUUCGCCUGUGACGAAGCGUGAGUGACGGUAAUGGGUAAAGAAGCACCGGCUAACUACGUG